AACGCGAAGAACCUUACCUGGGCUCGAACGGCUUCUCAACGACGGUGGAAACACCGUUACUCCGCAAGGGGGUGGAGUCGAGGUGCUGCAUGGCUGUCGUCAGCUCGUGUCGUGAGAUGUUGGGUUAAGUCCCGCAACGAGCGCAACCCUUGUCCUGUGUUGCCAUCCCGCAAGGGGGGACUCGCAGGAGACCGCCAGCGAUAAGCUGGAGGAAGGUGGGGAUGACGUCAAGUCCUCAUGGCCUUUAUGUCCAGGGCUACACACGUGCUACAAUGGCCGGUACAAAGCGCAGCUAAGCCGCGAGGUGGAGCCAAUCGCAAAAAACCGGUCUCAGUUCGGAUUGCAGGCUGCAACUCGCCUGCAUGAAGCUGGAAUCGCUAGUAAUGGCGUAUCAGAACGAUGCCGUGAAUACGUUCCCGGGCCUUGUACACACCGCACUACUA
rnacentral:rRNA from 1 species